UACGUAGGGGGCGAGCGUUGUCCGGAUUUAUUGGGCGUAAAGAGCGUGUAGGCGGCCAGGUAGGUCUGCUGUGAAAACUCGGGGCUCAACCCCGAGCCUGCAGUCGAUACGGGCAGACUAGAGUGCUGUAGGGGAGACUGGAAUUCCUGGUGUAGCGGUGAAAUGCGCAGAUAUCAGGAGGAACACCGGUGGCGAAGGCGGGUCUCUGGGCCGAUACUGACGCUGAGGAGCGAAAGCGUGGGGAGCGAACAGG
rnacentral:rRNA from 1 species